UUCUAGCCCAGAUAGAAGUGGAAAUCCUUUUAAGACUGCUUUUUUGCAGUCCUAAAAGAUUGAAACGUAUAGCUGGAAAAAGC
rnacentral:sRNA from 1 species